rnacentral:rRNA from 1 species
GACGAACGCUGGCGGCGUGCUUAACACAUGCAAGUCGAACGGAAAGGCCCUGCUUUUGUGGGGUGCUCGAGUGGCGAACGGGUGAAUAACACGUGAGUAACCUGCCCUUGACUUUGGGAUAACUUCAGGAAACUGGGGCUAAUACCGGAUAGGAGCUCCUGCUGCAUGGUGGGGGUUGGAAAGUUUCGGCGGUUGGGGGUGGACUCGCGGCUUAUCAGCUUGUUGGUGGGGUAGUGGCUUACCAAGGCUUUGACGGGUAGCCGGCCUGAGAGGGUGACCGGCCACAUUGGGACUGAGAUACGGCCCAGACUCCUACGGGAGGCAGCAGUGGGGAAUAUUGCACAAUGGGCGGAAGCCUGAUGCAGCAACGCCGCGUGCGGGAUGACGGCCUUCGGGUUGUAAACCGCUUUCGCCUGUGACGAAGCGUGAGUGACGGUAAUGGGUAAAGAAGCACCGGCUAACUACGUG